UCCUCCUACAAAGGCGCACUUGCAUUCGACUGCCUGCCUGUGCGUAAGAACUGGAGGAAUAUUAAAGUGAAUAGUGGUUCUUUUAUUG
ensembl:snoRNA